GCCCUCCAUCCCCUCCAAUCCUGGCAUCCACCGUCAUUCUGCUUUCAGCUUCUGAGUUCAUCAAGUGACUGUCAACUUGAGUAACACUGAGAUCUGGACAGGCAACAUGAUUCCAGAGAACAGCCUUUCUUUGACCCCUUCAUCCCCCCGAGAACUCAUGCUUGGCUUCCCAGUCCUCUGUCUCCGGUGAAAAACAUGGAGGAUUUGAACAGCAUGUUGCAUUGUUGACUGUCACUGUGUGCCUUGUCUCCAACCAAGGCGAUGAUUUGAGAUGGGGCCAGCCUUCAUCAGCGUCCUCCUCUUUCUAAACCUCAUUCCUUACGCCGAAUACCCUAGAAAAGUAGGGUAACAAAUUUGGCACUUCGGCUGGACUAGGAGGCAAAGGACAAUGGCAGCCCUGGCUUGACCGUCUGAUUUGGAUUUCAAGGGUGUUUGUUCUGAAAUUCCAACAAAAUGACUAAUUUGACUAGACCUGUGGUGAUCGAAGAUGCUGGUGUUCCCCAUCCUGCUGUUCUCACUUCUCCAGGACCGAGGCCCCGUGGAGGGAACCAAGAUCCUAGACCAUCCCUUAGACAUGAACUGGUUCAUACCUUGCCAGCUGCAUCUCCCUUGCUUCUUCCAGGACAGAGUGGGUUGAAAGAGCCAGCAGGAACUGAAAAGCAUUGUAAACUAAGGAGGAAAAGUAACAAAGAGCUUGAAGACUUUCAUGGAGCCCAGGCCCUGGACGGAGGCAGGCGACAUCAGAGAACCAAGAAAGCUGAGGGGCAGCCAGGAGGCACCUGUGGCUGCAGAGCCCAGGAGAAUGGCCUGAUCAUACCUGUGAUUUACCAGAAAAGAGCCUAA
rnacentral:lncRNA from 1 species